GAUGAACGCUGGCGGCGCGCCUAACACAUGCAAGUCGAACGAUUAAAGCACCUUCGGGUGUGUAUAAAGUGGCGAACGGCUGAGUAACACGUGGGCAACCUGCCCCUCUCAUUGGGAUAGCCACGGGAAACCGUGGAUAAUACCGAAUACUUCGGGACUUCCGCAUGGAAGACUCGAGAAAGCUCCGGCGGAGAGGGAUGGGCCCGCGGCCUGUUAGCUUGUUGGUGGGGUAAUGGCCUACCAAGGCAAUGAUGGGUAGCUGGGUUGAGAGACCGACCAGCCAGAUUGGGACUGAGACACGGCCCAGACUCCUACGGGAGGCAGCAGUGGGGAAUCUUGCACAAUGGGCGAAAGCCUGAUGCAGCGACGCCGCGUGCGGGAUGAAGGCCUUCGGGUUGUAAACCGCUUUCAGCAGGGACGAGGCGAAAGUGACGGUACCUGAAGAAGAAGCCCCGGCUAACUACGUG
rnacentral:rRNA from 1 species